rnacentral:rRNA from 1 species
GAUGAACGCUGGCGGCGUGCCUAAUACAUGCAAGUCGAGCGAACAGACGUGGAGCUUGCUCCUCUGACGUUAGCGGCGGACGGGUGAGUAACACGUGGAUAACCUACCUAUAAGACUGGGAUAACUUCGGGAAACCGGAGCUAAUACCGGAUAAUAUAUUGAACCGCAUGGUUCAAUAGUGAAAGACGGUUUUGCUGUCACUUAUAGAUGGAUCCGCGCCGCAUUAGCUAGUUGGUAAGGUAACGGCUUACCAAGGCGACGAUGCGUAGCCGACCUGAGAGGGUGAUCGGCCACACUGGAACUGAGACACGGUCCAGACUCCUACGGGAGGCAGCAGUAGGGAAUCUUCCGCAAUGGGCGAAAGCCUGACGGAGCAACGCCGCGUGAGUGAUGAAGGGCUUCGGAUCGUAAAACUCUGUUAUUAGGGAAGAACAAAUGUGUAAGUAACGAUGCACGUCUGGACGGUACCUAAGCAGAAAGCCACGGCUAACUACGU